UACGUAGGGGGCAAGCGUUGUCCGGAAUUAUUGGGCGUAAAGCGCGUGUAGGCGGUCCGCUAAGUCGGCUGUGAAAGUCCAGGGCUCAACCCUGGGAUGCCGGUCGAUACUGGCGGACUAGAGUCCGGAAGAGGAGAGUGGAAUUCCUGGUGUAGCGGUGAAAUGCGCAGAUAUCAGGAAGAACACCCGUGGCUAAGGCGGCUCUCUAGUACGGUACUGACGCUGAGACGCGAAAGCGUGGGGAGCGAACAGG
rnacentral:rRNA from 1 species